rnacentral:rRNA from 1 species
UACGUAGGGGGCAAGCGUUGUCCGGAAUCAUUGGGCGUAAAGCGCGUGUAGGCGGCUCGAUAAGUCUGCUGUGAAAGUUCAGGGCUCAACCCUGAAAUGCCGGUGGAAACUGUCGAGCUAGAGUCCGGAAGGGGAGACUGGAAUUCCUGGUGUAGCGGUGAAAUGCGCAGAUAUCAGGAGGAACACCGGUGGCGAAGGCGGGCCUCUGGGCCACUACUGACGCUGAGAAGCGAAAGCAUGGGGAGCGAACAGG